AGAGCGAACGCUGGCGGCAGGCCUAAUACAUGCAAGUCGAACGCACCUUCGGGUGAGUGGCGGACGGGUGAGUAACACGUGGGAACGUGCCCUUUGGUUCGGAAUAAUCCGGGGAAACCUGGCCUAAUACCGGAAUGUGCCCUUCGGGGGAAAGAUUUAUCGCCAUUGGAGCGGCCCGCGUCUGAUUAGCUAGUUGGUGGGGUAAAGGCCCACCAAGGCUACGAUCAGUAGCUGGUCUGAGAGGAUGAUCAGCCACACUGGGACUGAGACACGGCCCAGACUCCUACGGGAGGCAGCAGUAGGGAAUCUUGCGCAAUGGGCGAAAGCCUGACGCAGCCAUGCCGCGUGAAUGAUGAAGGUCUUAGGAUUGUAAAAUUCUUUCAGCGGGGAAGAUAAUGACGGUACCGCAGAAGAACGCCCGGCUAACUUCGUGCCAGCAGCCGC
rnacentral:rRNA from 1 species